GGGUUGUGAGGUUAAGCGACUAAGCGUACACGGUGGAUGCCCUGGCAGUCAGAGGCGAUGAAGGACGUGCUAAUCUGCGAUAAGCGUCGGUAAGGUGAUAUGAACCGUUAUAACCGGCGAUUUCCGAAUGGGGAAACCCAGUGUGAUUCGUCACACUAUCAUUAACUGAAUCCAUAGGUUAAUGAGGCGAACCGGGAGAACUGAAACAUCUAAGUACCCCGAGGAAAAGAAAUCAACCGAGAUUCCCCCAGUAGCGGCGAGCGAACGGGGAGCAGCCCAGAGCCUGAAUCAGUGUGUGUGUUAGUGGAAGCGUCUGGAAAGGCGCGCGAUACAGGGUGACAGCCCCGUACACAAAAAUGCACAUACUGUGAGCUCGAUGAGUAGGGCGGGACACGUGGUAUCCUGUCUGAAUAUGGGGGGACCAUCCUCCAAGGCUAAAUACUCCUGACUGACCGAUAGUGAACCAGUACCGUGAGGGAAAGGCGAAAAGAACCCCGGCGAGGGGAGUGAAAAAGAACCUGAAACCGUGUACGUACAAGCAGUGGGAGCCUCUUAAUGGGGUGACUGCGUACCUUUUGUAUAAUGGGUCAGCGACUUAUAUUCUGUAGCAAGGUUAACCGAAUAGGGGAGCCGAAGGGAAACCGAGUCUUAACUGGGCGUUAAGUUGCAGGGUAUAGACCCGAAACCCGGUGAUCUAGCCAUGGGCAGGUUGAAGGUUGGGUAACACUAACUGGAGGACCGAACCGACUAAUGUUGAAAAAUUAGCGGAUGACUUGUGGCUGGGGGUGAAAGGCCAAUCAAACCGGGAGAUAGCUGGUUCUCCCCGAAAGCUAUUUAGGUAGCGCCUCGUGAAUUCAUCUCCGGGGGUAGAGCACUGUUUCGGCAAGGGGGUCAUCCCGACUUACCAACCCGAUGCAAACUGCGAAUACCGGAGAAUGUUAUCACGGGAGACACACGGCGGGUGCUAACGUCCGUCGUGAAGAGGGAAACAACCCAGACCGCCAGCUAAGGUCCCAAAGUCAUGGUUAAGUGGGAAACGAUGUGGGAAGGCCCAGACAGCCAGGAUGUUGGCUUAGAAGCAGCCAUCAUUUAAAGAAAGCGUAAUAGCUCACUGGUCGAGUCGGCCUGCGCGGAAGAUGUAACGGGGCUAAACCAUGCACCGAAGCUGCGGCAGCGACGCUUAUGCGUUGUUGGGUAGGGGAGCGUUCUGUAAGCCUGCGAAGGUGUACUGUGAGGUAUGCUGGAGGUAUCAGAAGUGCGAAUGCUGACAUAAGUAACGAUAAAGCGGGUGAAAAGCCCGCUCGCCGGAAGACCAAGGGUUCCUGUCCAACGUUAAUCGGGGCAGGGUGAGUCGACCCCUAAGGCGAGGCCGAAAGGCGUAGUCGAUGGGAAACAGGUUAAUAUUCCUGUACUUGGUGUUACUGCGAAGGGGGGACGGAGAAGGCUAUGUUGGCCGGGCGACGGUUGUCCCGGUUUAAGCGUGUAGGCUGGUUUUCCAGGCAAAUCCGGAAAAUCAAGGCUGAGGCGUGAUGACGAGGCACUACGGUGCUGAAGCAACAAAUGCCCUGCUUCCAGGAAAAGCCUCUAAGCAUCAGGUAACAUCAAAUCGUACCCCAAACCGACACAGGUGGUCAGGUAGAGAAUACCAAGGCGCUUGAGAGAACUCGGGUGAAGGAACUAGGCAAAAUGGUGCCGUAACUUCGGGAGAAGGCACGCUGAUACGUAGGUGAAGUCCCUUGCGGAUGGAGCUGAAAUCAGUCGAAGAUACCAGCUGGCUGCAACUGUUUAUUAAAAACACAGCACUGUGCAAACACGAAAGUGGACGUAUACGGUGUGACGCCUGCCCGGUGCCGGAAGGUUAAUUGAUGGGGUUAGCGGUAACGCGAAGCUCUUGAUCGAAGCCCCGGUAAACGGCGGCCGUAACUAUAACGGUCCUAAGGUAGCGAAAUUCCUUGUCGGGUAAGUUCCGACCUGCACGAAUGGCGUAAUGAUGGCCAGGCUGUCUCCACCCGAGACUCAGUGAAAUUGAACUCGCUGUGAAGAUGCAGUGUACCCGCGGCAAGACGGAAAGACCCCGUGAACCUUUACUAUAGCUUGACACUGAACAUUGAGCCUUGAUGUGUAGGAUAGGUGGGAGGCUUUGAAGUGUGGACGCCAGUCUGCAUGGAGCCGACCUUGAAAUACCACCCUUUAAUGUUUGAUGUUCUAACGUUGGCCCCUAAUCGGGGUUGCGGACAGUGUCUGGUGGGUAGUUUGACUGGGGCGGUCUCCUCCUAAAGAGUAACGGAGGAGCACGAAGGUUGGCUAAUCCUGGUCGGACAUCAGGAGGUUAGUGCAAUGGCAUAAGCCAGCUUGACUGCGAGCGUGACGGCGCGAGCAGGUGCGAAAGCAGGUCAUAGUGAUCCGGUGGUUCUGAAUGGAAGGGCCAUCGCUCAACGGAUAAAAGGUACUCCGGGGAUAACAGGCUGAUACCGCCCAAGAGUUCAUAUCGACGGCGGUGUUUGGCACCUCGAUGUCGGCUCAUCACAUCCUGGGGCUGAAGUAGGUCCCAAGGGUAUGGCUGUUCGCCAUUUAAAGUGGUACGCGAGCUGGGUUUAGAACGUCGUGAGACAGUUCGGUCCCUAUCUGCCGUGGGCGCUGGAGAACUGAGGGGGGCUGCUCCUAGUACGAGAGGACCGGAGUGGACGCAUCACUGGUGUUCGGGUUGUCAUGCCAAUGGCACUGCCCGGUAGCUAAAUGCGGAAGAGAUAAGUGCUGAAAGCAUCUAAGCACGAAACUUGCCCCGAGAUGAGUUCUCCCUGACUCCCUGAGAGUCCUGAAGGAACGUUGAAGACGACGACGUUGAUAGGCCGGGUGUGUAAGCGCAGCGAUGCGUUGAGCUAACCGGUACUAAUGAACCGUGAGGCUUAACCUUACAACGCCGAAG
rnacentral:rRNA from 1 species